ACGAAUGACAUUGUCAAGAAAGUUGUUGAAUGACGUUGUAGCUAGUUGUUGUAUUAUUGCAGUUUGUUGUUGUUUUGGCAUUUCAGGCUGCUGUUGAUGAGGCGUUGGUGCUUGUUCAUCUGGUGGUGUGUCUGUUGAGAUGUGCUGUUGAGCGGGAAGAUGCUCAUGUGUCGGACACGAUGAUACAGCUAGCUUGUUUACUACAUGGUCUUCUCACUGUGUUGCCUGAAUUUGCUCAAGACAUCCAGAACGCGAUGCUACAGCUGUUUGAGUUUUGGUGGUCAUGUGACAUGCCCGGGAAGGAAGGCAUUAUUAGUUUGACUAUGCCAUGUCUCAUUGCCAGAACAUUGAUGCCCGAUG